rnacentral:rRNA from 1 species
GACGAACGCUGGCGACGUGCCUAAUACAUGCAAGUGGGACGCAAGGGAACACACUGUGCUUGCACACCGUGUCUUCUUGAGUCGCGAACGGGUGAGUAACGCGUAGGUAACCUGCCUAUUAGCGGGGGAUAACUAUUGGAAACGAUAGCUAAUACCGCAUAAUAUUAAUUAUUGCAUGAUAAUUGAUUGAAAGAUGCAAGCGCAUCACUAGUAGAUGGACCUGCGUUGUAUUAGCUAGUUGGUAAGGUAAGAGCUUACCAAGGCGACGAUACAUAGCCGACCUGAGAGGGUGAUCGGCCACACUGGGACUGAGACACGGCCCAGACUCCUACGGGAGGCAGCAGUAGGGAAUCUUCGGCAAUGGACGAAAGUCUGACCGAGCAACGCCGCGUGAGUGAAGAAGGGUUUCGGAUCGUAAAGCUCUGUUGUAAGUCAAGAACGUGUGUGAGAGUGGAAAGUUCACACAG